CAGUAGCCACGGGAAUACGGAGGAUCCAAGCGUUAUCCGGAAUCAUUGGGUUUAAAGGGUCCGUAGGCGGUCUUGUAAGUCAGUGGUGAAAGCCCAUCGCUCAACGGUGGAACGGCCAUUGAUACUGCAGGACUUGAAUUAUUGGGAAGUAACUAGAAUAUGUAGUGUAGCGGUGAAAUGCUUAGAGAUUACAUGGAAUACCAAUUGCGAAGGCAGGUUACUACCAAUUGAUUGACGCUGAUGGACGAAAGCGUGGGUAGCGAACAGGAUUAGAGACCCGCGUAGUCCCUGUCUCUUAUAC
rnacentral:rRNA from 1 species